rnacentral:rRNA from 1 species
CCUACGGGUGGCAGCAGUGAGGAAUAUUGGUCAAUGGGCGAGAGCCUGAACCAGCCAAGUCGCGUGAGGGAGUACUGCCCUAUGGGUUGUAAACCUCUUUUGUCGGGGAGCAAAAGCCGGACGUGUCCGGCUGUGAGCGUACCCGAAGAAAAAGCAUCGGCUAACUCCGUGCCAGCAGCCGCGGUAAUACGGAGGAUGCGAGCGUUACCCGGAUUUAUUGGGUUUAAAGGGUGCGCAGGCGGAUUUUUAAGUCAGCGGUAAAAUCGUGGGGCUCAACCCCAUCCAGCCGUUGAAACUGGGGAUCUAGAGUGUGCGAGAGGUAUGCGGAAUGCGUGGUGUAGCGGUGAAAUGCAUAGAUAGCACGCAGAACCCCGAUUGCGAAGGCAGCAUACCGGUGCACAACUGACGCUCAGGCACGAAAGCGUGGGUAUCGAACAGGAUUAGAUACCCCAGUAGUC